AACGAACGCUGGCGGCAUGCCUAACACAUGCAAGUCGAACGAGACCUUCGGGGCUAGUGGCGCACGGGUGCGUAACGCGUGGGAACCUGCCCUUAGGUUCGGAAUAACUCCCCGAAAGGGGUGCUUAUACCGGAUAAUGUCUUCGGACCAAAGAUUUAUCGCCUUUGGAUGGGCCCGCGUUGGAUUAGCUAGUUGGUAGGGUAAAAGCCUACCAAGGCGACGAUCCAUAGCUGGUCUGAGAGGAUGAUCAGCCACACUGGGACUGAGACACGGCCCAGACUCCUACGGGAGGCAGCAGUGGGGAAUAUUGGACAAUGGGCGAAAGCCUGAUCCAGCAAUGCCGCGUGAGUGAUGAAGGCCUUAGGGUUGUAAAGCUCUUUUACCCGGGAUGAUAAUGACAGUACCGGGAGAAUAAGCUCCGGCUAACUCCGUG
rnacentral:rRNA from 1 species